ACAUUUGAUAAUGAGGCUAAAUAUACUCCCGCGUCGGAAGAGGCGUGGGCGGCCCGAUCGCGUGGGCACUGCGCUCGGGGCUCCGCGGGGCGUCCCCUCCCAGGCCCAGGAGACAGAGGCGCGGACCCCGGGACAGAGGCUGGCUUUGUGCGGGAGGGAGACGCGCCCCGCGCGCCGCCCCCGAAACAUUCCCACCCCAGGCUGCGGCGCACGUCUGGGAGGCCGUGGGCGCCCCGAGGGGCAUUUGUACGUGGGGUGUACAGGCAGGAACAGGAAAGAAGCGGUGGCCACCCAGGAACAGUGGUUGCAGUCAACACUCCCGAUCCCCAGUUCCAAGGUUCGAGGAGGGGACACAG